rnacentral:rRNA from 1 species
GAUGAGCCCGCGGCCCAUCAGCUAGUUGGCGGGGUAAUGGCCCACCAAGGCGACGACGGGUAGCUGGUCUGAGAGGACGAUCAGCCACACUGGAACUGAGACACGGUCCAGACUCCUACGGGAGGCAGCAGUGGGGAAUUUUGCGCAAUGGGCGAAAGCCUGACGCAGCAACGCCGCGUGUGUGAUGAAGGUCUUCGGAUCGUAAAGCACUUUCGACCGGGACGAAAACCCGUUGGCUAAUAUCCAACGGCUUGACGGUACCGGGAGAAGAAGCACCGGCUAACUCUGUGCCAGCAGCCGCGGUAAUACAGAGGGUGCGAGCGUUGUUCGGAAUUAUUGGGCGUAAAGCGCGUGUAGGCGGCUUUGCAAGUCGGGUGUGAAAGCCCUCGGCUCAACCGAGGAAGUGCGCCCGAAGCUGCAUGGCUUGAGUACCGGAGAGGAUGGCGGAAUUCCCGAAGUAGAGGUGAAAUUCGUAGAUAUCGGGAGG